CGAAAGAAAGGAUAAAAUUGCACAGAUUUUGUCUGACGAAUUCCCUCCACUGUCAAGCAUCAGCUACUUUCAUAUCAGGUUUUAGAAUUCUAAACCAAGAAAAAAAAUGAAUCCAAGUUUGAUCUACUUCGGACUAAUUCUUGGACUGUUGGGCCAGACAUUGGCUGUUGACGUGAAAACAGCAAUUACCCAAACAAGUGAUAAUUGCGGAAAAGUGUAUACUGAUAAAUGCAAUGCCAACGCUGAUGUUCUAAACCUUAUUGCUUCAAGCAAAUAUUGUGAAGCCGUCAUAUAUAACAAAAACGGGUUCUCAGUCCAAACGUGUCUGGUCGCGCUGAAUGGAUGCACCCAGGCGGAAUAUGACAAAAUUAAAAGCGCCGUUUGUUCAGCAGAUUCUCUUGCUGUUGGAAUUGUUUCACUAGUUCUCUCUGCUGUUGUUACAUUAUUUGCCAGUCUAUAAAACAGUCUCAUGGAAACCAAAAAAUUCAAUAGCAAAAAAAAUAUUAUUGUAAACUCAUAAGUAAAUAUCUAAUGGAUUUGCUUCUUUUUUUUGAAUCAACAGUCCAUACGUAGAAUACAUACAUGUAUAUAGUUUUUGAAUUGAUCUUAAAGCAUUUCCAACCUCAACAAGAUUUUUAGAUGUGUACAAAUAGCUGUAGCACAAGGCUUAUUUGUUUCAUUAACAAGUCAUUAUAAAUGUAUAAUAUUUGUACACAUUAGAGGGGCGCAAAAAAAGGAAGUAAUCCACCAUUUGUUUUGUCUGUUAAUAUGAUAUGAUUAAUAUGUUUACCUUAAUUCUAAUGCAAAAAAAUGUAAGACUAAUUUCAUCAUGGAUAAUAAAGAUGUAUAAAGUUGUGUGUGUACGUGUGUGUGUGUCUGUGUGAAGUUCGAUAGUAUCAUUAAAGUACUUAUCAGCUAUUGUCGCGCCUAUGUAUUGUAUCUAGUUUGCCAAUUUCAUUAUUACCAUGAAAUACUAUAAUGCGAAUUUAUAUAUGCUAUUGUAAUUACUAAAUAACCAUCUGAUCGUAAAUUUGUAUUUUAUGGAUAAUUUUCAGUAGAAUUUGAUUUCCUCUCCAUAAAGCUGUGAGAGUUGCAUUUUUUAAAUACAAAAAUAAACGUUGCUUGUCACAUUUA
rnacentral:sRNA from 1 species